GAUCCAUCUGUGUAUGGCAAUAAACCAUAACUGCUCUGCUGAUGAAAGAGGGGCCUCAGAACCUAUCAAAACGAAGGGAUUUGAAUGAGGCUGAUUUGCUACAUGCAUUUUGGUCAGCUCAUCCAAGAAAUGACUGAUGGGGGAGCUGUCAUUAUUGCCAGUGAGGGCUGGUAUUAAGGUCUUCCAAAGACAAAGAAUGUAUGGCCUAAUAUCAGAACAUUUCUCAAGAUCUGGGUUCCUCAGCCAACUCUGCAGCAGGACAUCUACAGUGGGUCCAUGUGACACUUAACGACAUUGCAGUCCAAAAAUAUGGAAACCGCCAACAGAACAUGUCUAUGUAAGGAGGAAAGAGGAACAGGCCGUAUCAUGUAAAGCAGUUGAAGAGGAAAUGUGCACUCCAGCCACUGUGUCCUGCGCGCCCUCAGACGACAGCUGGGAGUGAGGCAUCGAUUCUCCUUCUCAGCAAGUUGCAUUGCCGAGGUCUCAUGUACGGGGCCCUGAAGUCCUGCUGUGCCAACAUCAAGGCUUUUCCCCUUAGCUGCGCCUGCUCACCAAAGUUAGAUGUUUUCCAUGUAGGUCCACGUGGGCCUCUCUGGGGCCAGCCCGGCCAGGGUGGAAACCUUCCAUUAACUGAGCAUCUCUAAUGUCCCACAAUGCACAGAAGACAAACAUGUAUCAUUCUCUGCAAAUCUCUUCAUGACCUAUGUGGUAGAUGGCUGCUGUCCUCAUCCUAUAAAUGAAAUCUUUAAACCUCAAAAAUUCUCCUACCCAAUUCAGUGCUGGCAUCCGAUGGCAUAGGAACUCUCCAUGAGGAACUGGACAGGCAUAAAGAUUAAUGAAAGCAGUUGGCAAAUGGAAAGAAGAAUUUGUGCUGAAGACAAGGAUGAAAUAGCUACAGAGAAAGGCGCAGACACAUGGAGGAGGAUGUUAUACUUUGAUAUUCCAGGCACAAAAUUAUGUGAAUACCUGUCAACGAUGGAAUGAGUUUGCAGCAAUUCAGUGAAGAGCCCACCUGAGAGGAAAGCUGGCCAAGAGGGGGAAAAAGGAAAAGUCUGUUUGAGAAAAAGCUGUUGAGAGGGCGUAUCACCCGGAUUGGGGAACAAGGUCAGUGGCCACCCAGGAACUGGGCAGGGGAUAAGUUUGCUCUUGAUGUCGUGGUUUGGAAGGGACCAGUUUUCACAGAACACAGAUGAAAUUAUAGAACUAUGGGAAUGCACUAUUUUUAGGAGGCUGACUAACUGAGAGAACUAAGUAGCUUUUAAAAAAUAACUUUUAUUUUUUAUUUGGGAAAUAGAAAACAUAGAAUUAGAAAAGUAUAAUGGAAUUAUGUGCCCAUUGCCUGCUUCAAUAAUGAUAACACUUGCCAUUCUAGUGCCAUCUAUCUUGCCAGACUUUUUUUCUGCAGUAUUUCAAAUGCAUUCUUGCCAUCAUAUUACUUUACAUAUAAAACUUCAGAAUGAAUUUCUAUAAGAAAAUAUAUUUUUAAUAUAAUCAUGCCAUUAUCACAUCUAACAAGAAAAUAAUUUAUUGUCAUUCAGUAGUCAGCCUAUGUUAAAUUUUAAUGAGUUGUCUUAAAACUCUCCUUUUAUAAUUGAUUUGUUUGAAUAAAGAUCCAAACAAGAUUCA